rnacentral:rRNA from 1 species
AUUGAACGCUGGCGGCAGGCCUAACACAUGCAAGUCGAGCGGAUGAAGGGAGCUUGCUCCUGGAUUCAGCGGCGGACGGGUGAGUAAUGCCUAGGAAUCUGCCUGGUAGUGGGGGAUAACGUCCGGAAACGGGCGCUAAUACCGCAUACGUCCUGAGGGAGAAAGUGGGGGAUCUUCGGACCUCACGCUAUCAGAUGAGCCUAGGUCGGAUUAGCUAGUUGGUGGGGUAAAGGCCUACCAAGGCGACGAUCCGUAACUGGUCUGAGAGGAUGAUCAGUCACACUGGAACUGAGACACGGUCCAGAUUCCUACGGGAAGCAGCAGUGGGGAAUAUUGGACGAUGGGCGAAAGCCUGAUCCAGCCAUGCCGCGUGUGUGAAGAAGGUCUUCGGAUUGUAGAGCACUUUAAGUUGGGAGGAAGGGCAGUAAGUUAAUACCUUGCUGUUUUGACGUUACCAACAGAAUAAGCACCGGCUAACUUCGUG